rnacentral:piRNA from 1 species
UGAGGACUUGACUCUAGCGAUUAGGUUC